UACGUAGGGUGCAAGCGUUAAUCGGAAUUACUGGGCGUAAAGCGUGCGCAGGCGGCUUUGCAAGACAGAUGUGAAAUCCCCGGGCUUAACCUGGGUACUGCAUUUGUGACUGCAUGGCUGGAGUGCGGCAGAGGGGGAUGGAAUUCCGCGUGUAGCAGUGAAAUGCGUAGAUAUGCGGAGGAACACCGAUGGCGAAGGCAAUCCCCUGGGCCUGCACUGACGCUCAUGCACGAAAGCGUGGGGAGCAAACAGG
rnacentral:rRNA from 1 species